rnacentral:rRNA from 1 species
UGGGGAAUUUUGGACAAUGGGCGCAAGCCUGAUCCAGCAAUGCCGCGUGCAGGAUGAAGGCCUUCGGGUUGUAAACUGCUUUUGUACGGAGCGAAAAGGUCUGCCCUAAUACGGUGGGCUAAUGACGGUACCUGAAGAAUAAGCACCGGCUAACUACGUGCCAGCAGCCGCGGUAAUACGUAGGGUGCAAGCGUUAAUCGGAAUUACUGGGCGUAAAGCGUGCGCAGGCGGUUAUGCAAGACAGAGGUGAAAUCCCCGGGCUCAACCUGGGACCUGCAUUUGUGACUGUAUAGCUAGAGUACGGUAGAGGGGGAUGGAAUUCCGCGUGUAGCAGUGAAAUGCGUAGAUAUGCGGAGGAACACCGAUGGCGAAGGCAAUCCCCUGGGCCUGCACUGACGCUCAUGCACGAAAGCGUGGGGAGCAGACA